GCCCAUUCCACUGGGUAGUAGCCACAGUACUCCAGCUGGCGUUUCAGAGUGGUGUGGCAGUACUGAGCAGCCUUCUCAAUCAUGUCCAGGUGCUGGUAGACUUGUGCCAGAUACAAAGGCUCCCAAACCUUCUAACAAGAUCUGGAGCAUAUUCUGGCAAGAUUAGAGCUAUUCCUGCCAAUAAAGCAACUGAAAUGACAUGUCUAGAGACAGACACCUGACUAUACACCAGCUGCCAUGACAGAGUGGGUCCACAAAGGCCCUUUUGUGAAUCUUCGUGUGGCAAGAGUUAAUUUUGAUAAGAGUAUUAUUUUCUUCAGAAUAAAGACAUGAAUAUUAUUACUUCGAUCCCCAACAAAACUGUAUUUACUCAUCCGGGACAAAAUUUAAUAGCUUAAAAGAGAACAGAUGAGGCUGAAAAGCAAACAAUUUACUAUUUACACAUCAAUAAAAGCAUCUCCCAACUUCACUUUGACGACAAACGAGUUAAGGAACCACAAAUUCUGGAUAUACUGAGGUCUUCUACUAAUUUAUUCCUGCCCAGCUCUUACCAGUUCUGUCUCAGUCUGUCCCGAGGAACACGCUGCUUUGUCAACACACGAUUUCCAUUGCGAGAACACACUUUAGAUGCCCUGCACGCCCAGAGGCAUCAGCAGAAGGCUUAAAACAGAAACCC